UAUAUACACUCACGUCACACACUCUCCCCGUCCUUUAUUGUCAGUCUAGCAUCCGAUGUUACGCCUAGUGGAGGACUUACCCCCCGUAUCCAGCCCAGCGCCGCGCUUCUCCUGAGCGCGCACUUUCCCUGGCUCUCACGGACUGCCUCCCGUCAGUUCCGGACAUUGUGGGCCGCGCCCCCAGAGCGCACCAACGGAUUAUUCCUGCGUGUGUCGCAGGUAUUUGUCUUCCGUGAAACUUUGUUUACGGCCACUUCGGCUUCCGCCUCCGUUUCCGCAUAACCGGUAGGUCAUGGCAAGCCAAGGGGAAGGCGAGGAGGGCGACGCAAAGCCUCAGCUACAGUCACAUACCCUCCGGUUGAGUGUUCCCUGUCAUCCAGUGUGGAGGUUCCCUCAGAAAUACUAAAUCCUCAAGAGGAAUUUGAGAAAAAUAUGGAGAGGCUCUCAAAUAUUUUGGCAUCAUGUCUUUCUGCUGAGUCUCAAAGAAGCUCUGCUUCAUCAUGGUCUUUUCGGAAGCAGAAAGCCUCAGAGCGCUGGAAAGAGGCAAGACCGUACCACCUACAAUGCCUUAUCGCAAAGGAGGCUGUUGGUCAUCCCUUGUGUUGCCUUUGCCACAAGCCUGAUGUUAUUAGGUGCAGAGAGUGUCUUCCUGAGGAUUGGUUCUGUGGGGACUGUGAUGUAUUGCAUCACAAAAAACAGCCACUCCACAACAGGGAAAGUGUGAUUCAUGGGUUUUUUGAAGCCAUUCCUCCAACCUCAUGCAUCAUUAAAGGAGAAGGUGGAUAUUGCACCCAUGAGCAAGCUUGCAUUUUGCCAACUGUGAAGGUGCCAGACUACUCCUGUGAAGGCACAAGCUUCACUGUAUUACCAGGCAAACCAGUGAUUUUGAUUACCAUCAAUGGGCGUUUUGACUUGCAUCAGCCACUAUAUGAAUGUAAAACAUGCCAGCAGCAGUGGACUCCUGAUUCGAAGGACCUCCUUAGGAGUGGAUAUUGGCCAGCCUCUGUCAGCAAUUCAACGCUGUAUACACUGAACCUCCUGAAGGGCUCUUUGUGGCUGAAGACAGUGUGGGGUCUACAUUUGUCGACACCAUACAGA